CUUAGUGUGUUAAGUCCAAGAGUGUUGUUUUAGUGUGUUAAGUCCAAGAGUGGACACUAAGACAACACUCUUGGACUUAACACACUA
rnacentral:pre_miRNA from 1 species